GUUGCGUCUCACGUGGGAUUUGGUGGUAUGGGUUUGAUAGGCGUGGAUUCGGCUGAGACCUGGGUCUCCGACUGUUCAGCCCCCAGAUGUAUUGUCUCUUGGUUGUAAUACGCUGCGGCGAUUUUUACUUUUCCAUAAAAUACAUUUUGUGUCUCAGCCCCUUGCGACUGAGUCUGUGGUGCCACUCCCGUUUCCUGAUAGGAAUAGCUUAGCCCUUCCUCUAGUGGCUUGUGUCGCGCUGGUUAGAACUCUGUUGCCGCUCAGGCCUCAUUGGAUAUGAGCAGCGGCAUAUGUGAAGAGACUCAUGUCUAUCACUUGCCCUGUAGGGUUAGGAACUAACGCCGGUGUCACCAUGCUGUCGUUCUCUUUUAGAAAGAGUAACGAGAUCAAGGGCGCGUACGAUAUUGUCUACUGUUCAGGACAUUGUGUCUACAACUGCCUCGGUUCACAUCUGUUCGACUGGGAAAGAGAACCCCGUGUAUAGGGCUAUACAGUUGCCAUCGCGGCUUCCGGUGUUGGCUCAGAGUUUUCGUCGCCGGUGUGGGUUCGCAGGGGUCUCGUCGAGGGAAUUGGCUUUGACCGGGCUGUGUGCGUUCUUCUAUUACAGAACCCUCCCGAAUACGGAAUGACAUCGCGCUUCCGUCCUCUGUGAUUCUCGUGUGGCUGAUGCGAUCACUGCUAGCCCUUCCUUAAAAUAGUUUAGUCCUUCCUCUGGUGAUUCGUAUCGCGCGGGUUUUGACUAACGGUGGAUGUCCACUGGUCCCGCGGAUACAAAUAAUUGUCUAUGAACAGCAUCAUGGCUUUAUUGACGGUUGCGCAAAGCAUCUCGGGAAGGUAACGCGGCCGUUUGAGCCAUAUUAUGUCUAUGGUUUGAGCUGUCUAUUCGCCUUAUUCACCCACGUCACUUCAUUUAAACCAAAACGAGGCUGUGGGGUACGGAAGUAACGUUGUCUCGCCCAUCUGUAGACUAUAAAUCCUAUACAGGUCAAACCUUCCAUCGUUUCCCCAAAGAUCAUGUACUUUGCCGUGAAUGGAUUUAUAAAAUAAGAAGAGAUCCCGGUCGCCAUUUCAAGGUAUCAUGAUGACAGACGCCCGCUGCUGCGCUCUGUCAAUGAACUUCCGGUUUAGAGUGUACCCCCUAGCCUCGUUUUGGAUUUCAAGAUGGACGGUGAAUAAGGUCAAUAAGCAGCCAUUGUUUCUGUCAUUUAUGGUGUUUGGACAUGUGAAUUUUUUUUUUUGAGUUUUUUUAUUAGGUUUUUCCGGCGCCUGGCAUUUUCAUUCGGAGACGGAUGCGCGGCCUGCCGGGCUGGUUGGAGGUAGAUGGCCGUGGUAACGUAUGGAAGUUGCUGAAGGCCUAAUGAGAAGUUUUUUGGAAGGCGUAGGCUACGGACUUCUUGGAAGUUUGCGUGGUCCCAACAUUUCCCUGCCGGAGGCCGAACUGGCCCUCGUUUGGUUUCGCUCUAUGGACCUUUUCGUUGUCCGUGGUGGUGUUCGCUCUGCUUUGGAAGUGUUGAGCUACACGGGUCAAGAAAAUGUCCAGAAGUGGGGAGUCUCAGGUACACAGGAACACGCAGGAACGCUGGACCGCCUGGGGGAGGGGUGCGGACGGUCAGACAGGAGACGCUCCAGAGGGAGCAUCGACCGGUACAGGACACUUGAAAGCGAUUCAGCAAUAGAGGGCUUACAAGGACAACUGUGAGGUGGCUGAGAUGAGAUGGAUCUCACAGACACACAGACAGACUGUCCUACAGCGGAGAGGAGUCUACUCUGGGACACUGCACGUCUAGGUGCCGCACGUCUACAGGAUGCUGGGCUCCUGUGAGCCGGACUGAUUCGAGUCCUGACGAUUCUGCAAUGUGAUGGAGAAGGCAACCACUGGCCGAGAGGAUGGAGGCGAAAGAAAGCUCCGGUUCUGGACAACGUUUACGGGGACGCGGAAAGAUCUACUGCACGACAUCAUGCUACGCUGAUUGGGUCCAUACCAGGUAACAUCUCAUCUGCUGUCCAGGUAGCUGAGAGAGGAGCCUGGGGUUGACGACACACGCUAAAGGAGGGCUUCAGUGUUUCAAGAUUAGGCACAGUGAAUUGAAGUCACUGAGGGAAAAGUGAAUUUUCUGGUGCUAGUAACCAUCACUUCCGACCCGGCCUGCAGCUAUAGAGCCCUUGGAUAAAACUGGUCAUCUUGGCAUUCACAAAGGAGAACACACGAUUCUCCUGACCUGGCUGAUGAAGCAGCUAGAAUGAAGACAACUAGAGCUGUGUCAUGGUAACCUGCAUUUGAGCUAUGAAGGACAACACCUUGGAAUAUACAUCUGACUUUUACGUUCUGUUACACCGGCCUGCCAAGAAAUGGUUCAUAACUGACUGUCUGACGUUUGGAGGAGCAGAACUUUGGAAGUACAUCUAAAUGGAACCAUGGAGAGGGCUUUUCAGUAAAUCAAGCAAUUGGCCUGAGAGGACUUUGUACCAGUGACAAAUUGAAGGAUCUAUACAGUGAUGGGUGUUUAUAUACCCACUUGUCGAUGCUACAUAUCCCAUAAUGUCAGUAUGUGUCACCUGAAAUGUUUUCCUUUGACCAAUUAUUUUAACACAAAAAGGUUUUGCUGUACUAUUAUAGUUUUGUAUAAUGAAAAUGUGUUCUCUAAGUAUAAGGGUAAUGAUAUCAUGUUGUUAAAGAGUACUGUUUUGUUGCAUCCUAAUGAGUAAACUGUUUAAGGAUUGAUACCAAGGGUUGAUUUGGUAUCAAGAGAUGGAUUGUUAUGGAAAUGUCUUGAACUGCAUUCUUAUUGAUUCAUGUAUUGAGUCCCCAUGUUUAGAUAAGAAAAGGAAUGUCGGUUGUGCUGUGGUAAAGGAAGUAUGAGGUGCUGAGGUAAACGUAAACCUAUAGCAGGAUGGGGGUAGAUACAUAACAAUGGGUUUUAGGACAGGAUUGAGGAAGAUACCUUCUGUUGUGUAAGAUGGAUAAGGAACAUGUGGUGUCUGUGGUAUGACCAUGAAGAUUCUUAAUCUCCACCCAUUUCUCUAUAAGUAUCGAAUGUAUUUUCAAAUGUUUAGAGACUCCUAGGAUGAUUGUUUGUAAGCGUUUGAAGCGUCUCUAUAUUUGCAAAUAAAUAAACUUAAU
ensembl:lncRNA